rnacentral:rRNA from 1 species
UACGGGGGGGGCAAGCGUUGUUCGGAAUUACUGGGCGUAAAGAGCUCGUAGGCGGUCUGUCACGUCGGCUGUGAAAACCCGGGGCUCAACCCCGGGCCUGCAGUCGAUACGGGCAGACUAGAGUUCGGCAGGGGAGACUGGAAUUCCUGGUGUAGCGGUGAAAUGCGCAGAUAUCAGGAGGAACACCGGUGGCGAAGGCGGGUCUCUGGGCCGAUACUGACGCUGAGGAGCGAAAGCGUGGGGAGCGAACAGG